UACAGGAGGGUGCGAGCGUUGUCCGGAAUCACUGGGCGUAAAGGGCGCGUAGGUGGCGGCCCAAGUCCAUGGUGAAAGCUCGAUGCUCAACAUCGAGUCGGCCACGGAUACUGGGUUGCUCGAGCACUGUAGGGGCAGAUGGAAUUCCGGGUGUAGCGGUGGAAUGCGUAGAGAUCCGGAAGAACACCGGUGGCGAAGGCGGUUAGCUGGGCAGUUGCUGACACUGGAGGCGCGACAGCGUGGGGAGCAACAGGGAUUAAGAAACCCGUGGGUAGUC
rnacentral:rRNA from 1 species